rnacentral:lncRNA from 1 species
UGUCUGUGUGUGUGUGUGUGUGUGUGUGUGUGUGUGUGUCUGUCUUUGUGUCUCUGUGUGUGUGUGUGUAGGUGAUGGAGGGCCCAGGCGGUCUGGUGGAGGACGGCGUGUCUGGCCGGCGCUCUGCGCUGAGCGGCGCUCUGCUGGAGGUGAUGCAGUGUUACAUCGGCCAAUCAGAGCUGCUGUCUGAGAUCCAGAGACUCAGAUCCAGUUUUGCCAUCGACUGGCGUCCGUCUCAGCGUGUUCUCGUCUACCUGAAGUCAGCGCUGUUGGUGUGUGAGCUGGAGGUGGACGAGGGAUACCCGAGCAGAGGAGCAGCCCGCCUGCUCUCUGUACGGAGGGACGGACAACCUCUGGACACAUCUGGACUCAAGCCUUAUAAAUCUGUCCUCAGUCUGACAGACUGGUUGGUGUUUCUCUCCAGCAGUCCUCUGAUCUGACCUCUCUUUCCAUCUCCCUCUCCUCUUCCUCUCCUCUCUUCUCCUCUCCUCUCCCCUCCUCUCCUCUCUCCUCUCACUCUCCUUCCUCUCCUCCCUCUCCUCUCCUUCCUCCCCUCCCCUCCCUGUCCUCUCCCUCUCCUCCCUCCCCCUCUCCAUCCUUCCUCUCCCUCUCCUCUCCCUCUCCUCUCCUCUCCUCUCCUCUCCUCUCCUCUCCUCUCCUGUCUCUCCUUCCUCUCCUGUCUCUCCUCUCCUCUCCUCCUCUCCUCUCCUUCAUCUCCUCUCCUCUCCUCUCCUCCCUGUCCUCUCCAGA